AGGUGAGGUAUCCAUGUGUGUACUUGGACGAUGUUUUAUUUCGCGUGUUGAUGUCGUCAGUCGAUCGAUAUCCGAUGCCUGCUUUGCUUUUUGAUAUGACCUGUCAGUAUAGCUACUGAUACAUAGGCGCCGAAAUCUGAAUGCUGAAUCAACAUCAAUGCCAAAAGUUCUUCAGAUACCAGUAUUGUUGCAGCUCACACCGCAGGCGGCCGGCCCACGCGCAUCUCAUAAGCAGUUCAUCGCUGCGGUACCAGCUAAUCUCGGGCUUGGGCGCGGCGAGCAGCUGGCACUCGAAGACCAGCUUGUUCCCAUCGUCCUCCUGCCUUAGCUGCGGCUUCUGCGUGAAGCUCGGGGCAAAAUCGUCGG